rnacentral:lncRNA from 1 species
GGAUAUAUAAAGCCUUUAAGGCUGCAAAGGGAAGGAUAAACAUAGAGAAGAAGAUUGAGAAGCCAAAAUGGCAGCGAAGAUCGACGCUAUCCCAUGAAGGGAGAAAAACUGAAUGGAAACCCAAAACUCUUGCUCAGAUUAAAAAGGAAAAAUCUGAAGUAGAAAAUUUAGAGAUUCAUACAGUAAGAGUUAUUGGGCAUACGUCGUCAAGUGAGCCGGUUGACGAAGCUGAAA